rnacentral:tRNA from 1 species
GCCAAGGUGGCACAGUGGUUUGAGGGUUGGAUUAUGACUCUGGAGACCAGGGUUUGAUUCCCAGCUCGGCCA